UGGGGAAUUUUGGACAAUGGGCGAAAGCCUGAUCCAGCAAUGCCGCGUGUGUGAAGAAGGCCUUCGGGUUGUAAAGCACUUUUGUCCGGAAAGAAAUCCUUGGCUCUAAGUACAGUCGGGGGAUGACGGUACCGGAAGAAUAAGCACCGGCUAACUACGUGCCAGCAGCCGCGGUAAUACGUAGGGUGCAAGCGUUAAUCGGAAUUACUGGGCGUAAAGCGUGCGCAGGCGGUUUGCUAAGACCGAUGUGAAAUCCCGGGCUCAACUGGGAACUGCAUUGGUGACUGGCAGACUAGAGUAUGGCAGAGGGGGGUAGAAUUCCACGUGUAGCAGUGAAAUGCGUAGAGAUGUGGAGGAAUACCGAUGGCGAAGGCAGCCCCCUGGGCCAAUACUGACGCUCAUGCACGAAAGCGUGGGGAGCAAACAGGAUUAGAUACCCUGGUAGUCCACGCCCUAAACGAUG
rnacentral:rRNA from 1 species